UACGAAGGGGGCUAGCGUUGUUCGGAAUUACUGGGCGUAAAGGGCGCGUAGGCGGCUUAUCAAGUCAGGGGUGAAAUCCUAGAGCUCAACUCUAGAACUGCCUCUGAAACUGAUAAGCUAGAGUUUGGUAGAGGAUAGUGGAAUUCCUAAUGUAGCGGUGAAAUGCGUAGAUAUUAGGAGGAACACCAGUGGCGAAGGCGGCUAUCUGGGCCAAUACUGACGCUGAGGCGCGAAAGCGUGGGGAGCAAACAGG
rnacentral:rRNA from 1 species